AUUGAACGCUGGCGGCAGGCCUAACACAUACAAGUCGAGCGGGGCGGCGGACGGGUGAGUAAUGCCUAGGAAUCUGCCUGGUAGUGGGGGAUAACGUCCGGAAACGGGCGCUAAUACCGCAUACUAUCAGAUGAGCCAAGGGCGGAUUAGCUAGUUGGUGGGGUAAAGGCAUACCAAGGCGACGAUCCGUAACUGGUCUGGGAGGAUGAUCAGGCACACUGGAACUGAGUGACUGGCCAGCUUCCUACGGGAGGAAGCAGUGGGGAAUAGUGGACAAUUGGCGAAAGCCUGAUCCAGCCAUGCCGCGUGUGUGAAGAAGGUCUUCGGAUUGUAAAGCUCUUUAAGUUGGGAGGCGUUACCAACAGAAUAAGCACCGGCUAACUUCGUGCCAGCAGCCGCGGUAAUUC
rnacentral:rRNA from 1 species